UCCACUGGCACGACUGGCCUCCUCACCUCUCUCUCUCUCUCUCAUUUCUCUCUCUCUCCCACGCGAUCCCCAAAUCACCGCCCCUGCCGCCGGCCUUCCCUGCCAACUCCGGCAAGCUCUGGCGCCAUCCAGCAUACCCACGGCUCCCCCUCACCGAGCUCUACCUGCUCCACCUCUUCGAUCUGCCUUCCCCUGCCUUGUGUGGUCGCUCGCUUCGGUCAAACCUCGCUAGGGUUUUGGUGCUUGCGGGGCUAGGUCGCCGACGUGGUUCCGACGCCUUGCUUCGGUGUGACUCGCCUCCUGGUUGUGCCUAGGUGUCGCACGUGUCACUGAUGCGGCCCAGUGGUCGCUGGCAAUGCGGCGGUUGCCUGCCUCUCCACGGCUUCGCGUACCUCGCCUCCUGCUGCCAUGUGACGGCGGUGAGUUGGCCACACCGCAACCGCGGCGGUGGCGAUGCGUGGCCUCGGCUAUAACCCCUUCAUGGUGAGCUUCUCCUUCUCUGCCCUACUGCCGCCUCUACUGCCUAGACCAUGGCCGCGGUGAUCUUGGUCCUCUUCGUGUACUGUUAAUAUGACUUAGGUCUUUGAGGACGCUUGGAUUGAUGGAUACGGUCUGCUACUUGAUUUGUGCUUUACUGAAAUUAGUUGGGGUAGUUGGUUACUGUUUAGGGUUCAUAUUUGGGCCUAGAUUUGUUGAUGUGCUAAUGCUCCUGUUGAUCCACUAGUCCAUACUCUAGUUCUAGUUCAUGCCUAUGGACUGGUCAUUGGGGAUUUGGUGAUGCUGGUGGUCCUAUGUGCUGCUGGUGGUCCUAUGUGCACUUGUUUGAUAUACUAGCACUGUAUCCUUAAUUGACAGUUAAACCAUUAACCUACCAUGCAUAUAGAUGUGUUCAUGUGGAAUUGAUGCUACUCUAACUCUGUGAUCAAAUUGUGGUCAUGAUCUAGUUCUGGUUGUAGUUCUUGUUAUUUAAAUGGUCCUUUGAUUUCAGUUUCUCUUGCUGCAAGUAUAAUUACAUGCUUAUAUUCUUGUUGGUCACUUGUUACUCUUCAAGCUGGUAUCUGUGUUUAAUACAUAUUAGUUUUUAUUUAAAUACCAUGUACUUGUAUUUCUUGUUCUAUUUAGUACAUCAUCUUUUAGUGGUUUAGUUGUAUAUUGCACAUCACAUAGUCCUGGUAGUUGCAUGUGCUGACACUUAUUUUAUUGCUUUAGUUAUAUCAGAUGUUUCUUUUACAUGCUUAGUAAUUAACAGUAUCAUUGGUUUAAAGGAUAUAGCCCUUUAUUUAUAGAUACUUAUAUUGCUUUACCUGGUUCAGUUUAGAAUAGAUGCUCUCUUGGUCUUAGCUUUUCUCUCUUCCUUUCUUUCCUCCUCUUCUAAACUCUACUGAUAAGAACAGUUGCUCCUUGAUCUUAACCAAGCCCAUGAUGCUGGUCUGAGGCUCCUUGACCUUAACGACUUGGCUCUCCAAGCAACAAAAUCAGUUCAGCGGCGCUCUUGGUUCCUCUUUCUUGCUUAUUGGUCAGAUUCUGAAUCUAGAUUCUGCUAUUUUGGUUCAUAUUCCAUUGAUUUGGUACGCUACAUCUACAUUGAUGCAUCAACUCUGCUCCAUAAAUAUGGAUACAUGUUUGCAGGUAGUUUUCUUCGAUAGUUUUGUGUUGCCAUUGCUCCCAGUCAUCAGAUUCUGGUAAGUUAUCUAACACUGAUGUUAGAGUGCAGAUGCGCCUUUUAGGUUUAGGAGCACCGCCGUCUAGCUCAGCAGGCGAGAGCUCUAAGUGUUGUUAUGUCUGAAAUUCCAUGGACAACCUUGUUUUGUUGCCAUAGUUAUUACUAGCCAUGCUCGGCAGUAUGACACACAUUGUGGCUGAUGGAUUUCGGUUUUCCAUGUGGUGUAAAAAGAAAUAUUUAAUAGUUUUUUUCCUGUUUAAUUGAUAACUACUUGGGUCGUGGAGGGUGGUGUUGAACGUGUAUGAGUGUUUGAUUUACUUAUUCCUCUCACGGAUGAGGAGAGUAGAAAGUAGCAGUUGGUAUUGCUUCUAGUGUAGCAGGCUAAAGCACUGAUCUUAGAAAAAUAAAUAGGUAUCCUAAACACUAUGAUUGUAAACGUGGAAGUCUGUUGUACCAAACGAUUAUAUAGAAAUGGUUUGGCAAGAUGUGAUGGUCUACUGCACUAUGUGUGUCUCACUAGUAGUUGUAACAGGUGCUCAUUCCCUGAUGGACUGAAAUGCUUUUGUGCAUUACCUGUGUUUACACAGUGUAUUUUUUAUCUUUGGCACUUGCAGACUUGUGAAUCAAUCAAGAUGCAUUUACAAUCUUGAUCGUAAGAGCUUUCAUAAGAUAAGCUUGUGUCUAACUUUGCUUCUAUUAUUCCAAUUAAUUGAAAAGGAUCCAAACAAGGCAGUUCCAUUAUUCUGAGCAGCUCUUAACAGUGGUGAACAAUUGAGAGUGCAUUGAAGGACAUGGCUACUGUACUGAAGCAAGCAAAUUGGGCUGAAGAAGCCAUCGAUGCGAUAAGAUCCUUCCGUGACCGUUGUCCAAAUGAAGCUCGGGAGUCUCUUGACAAUAUUCUUCUUGACCUAUACAAGAAUGCGGUAGGACAACAUAAUAGAUUGAAAUGCUGAUAGUGAAGCUGAGAAUGGUUGAUGUGGAUCUAGCUUCUGGCCGGCGGAAAGCAAAGCUGUCUAAAUCUCAUGGAAGAGUAGUCUAUCUCUCUUUGAGGGAUGAAAAGGCAAGGUUGCUGGCUAACCUCUCCCGGGCCUAUAUGCAGCCUGAUAACUAUGAGGAGGCUGAAAUGCUCUACAAGUAUAUAUCUCGGCCCUGAAUUCGGCGUCCACGGCCAAACCCAGGUACCUACAAACUCCCCUUUGCUCUGUUUUAGACCAUAAUACUAGUCAAAUAGACCAUAAUACUAGUACAAUUGUGUAGCUAGAGAGAUAUUGUUGGUUCUGAUGCUUAUUGAUCGACACACCAAGUGUUUUUACUACUGAUGAUUACUAGUAAUACAACAAUAAUACAUCUGCAACCAAGAGUUAAAUUGAAGUGACUUGACAAUAAAGGGUACAAUGUUGGUAAUAAUUUGCUGUUACUGAUGCCUUCUUACUUGCUUGCUUACGCAUGACCUGGGAAUUACUCCUACUUGAUGCACAAACUUUGCUUGUUGCAAUUUGCCUCAAAAUCUUGGAUUCACAAUCUAUAAUAAGAUUUGGUCAUGACUAGCACUGUAUCCUUCUUAAGUUGGGUUUUCCCCAAUUUCUAGGAUUGGUCUGUUAGGUACUGCUUAUAAUUCAUAUAUACUAUGCUGCUGCUAUAUGCUUUUGUUUCUGCUAUUGUUACUUAGUGCUCUAUAGGUUACUGUUAUAUUGUACUAAUGCUCCAGGCUCUUUUGAGUUCCUAGUAGUGGUCUUGGUUCAUUAUUUAAUUCCAGGAUUGGUGAGUUCCUAGUAGGGAACAUAUGGACAUGAAGCUAUGGCGGCGACGAAGACGAUAUCGACAUUGGACUGCUGCGACAAUGAUGACGACGACCAUCGGCAUUGACACAGGGCUACGGCAGCGACGAAGACGACGACAUCGUCACGGUGCUACGGCGACAGCGACAAUGACGACAUCAACACCAUCAACACGGCCUUGUGGAGGCACCGACGCCGAUGACAUAGACGCAUGGCAUAUAUUGUGUGUGUGUGCAUGCACACGCGUGCAUGUGUGUGUGUGCGUGUGUUAAUUAUCUACAUCAGAUAUGUAUGAUUGAUGAUUGGUUGUAUGCAUAACAUGUAUGCAUUGUGAAAUGCAGGUCUAAACUGAAAUAGGUAGACUUUUAUUUUUUUAAAU